CGUUGACCCUAAUGCUAAGGACGACACGUACACAGCUCUUGACCCCAUGUCCAGGUCCUCUGAUGAUGUGUACAACACACUUGCAACUGUUCAUUGCAGUCCUUCUGAUGAUCUGUACUCAGCUCUGGAUCCUCAGUCUCGCUCUCCUGAGUACGACACUCUAGCAUUGCAGCUGUCACCUUUUUUGGCUGUCGGUACCUAUCUGCUGAGUCGGGAGUCCUUCGGGCCAUCCAGUCCCUAAAGGCCUCUUUCUUCAGCUUGACAGACCUCACUCACCACCAGGUGUCCUCCAGGGGGUUCUUGGGUUAAUGCCCUGACAGGCACCCCCAAGCUUUUGGCCACAGCUACGCCUGGCAGCUUCCACAAUGGAGGCUUUGAACAGUGACCAUUCAGACUCCAUCUCCCCUAGCUCAUGAGAAAAGCUCUUCUGGAGGUGUAAGUUGAAAUCAUUCCAAACAGGGGCCUCCAACAGUCCUUUCCCGCACACCCUUACUAUUCGCUUGGGGCUACUGGGUCUGACCAUCAGUCUU